GGGAUCACACAAGCGGUGGAGCAUGUUGUUUAAUUCGAAGCAACGCGAAGAACCUUACCAGGCCUUGACAUGUACGGAUUAGCUCCUUGAAAGGGGAGUGACAGCUCUUCGGAGUCGGAACGUACACAGGUGUUGCAUGGCUGUCGUCAGCUCGUGCCGUGAGGUGUUGGGUUAAGUCCCGUAACGAGCGAAACCCUUAUCGUUAGUUGCCAGCGGGUUAUGCCGGGGACUCUAGCGAGACUGCCGUUGUCAAAACGGGAGGAGGGUGGACGACGUCAAGUCAUCAUGGCCCUUAUGGCCUGGGCUACAAACGUGCUACAAUGGUCCGUACAAUGGUACCCAAGUCGCGAGACG
rnacentral:rRNA from 1 species